rnacentral:rRNA from 1 species
UACGAAGGGGGCUAGCGUUGUUCGGAAUCACUGGGCGUAAGGGGCGCGUAGGCGGCUUUAUAAGUCGGGGGUGAAAGCCUGUGGCUCAACCACAGAAUUGCCUUCGAUACUGUAGAGCUUGAGACCGGAAGAGGUAAGUGGAACUGCGAGUGUAGAGGUGAAAUUCGUAGAUAUUCGCAAGAACACCAGUGGCGAAGGCGGCUUACUGGUCCGGUUCUGACGCUGAGGCGCGAAAGCGUGGGUAGCAAACAGG